UGCAAUGGUUCUUCUUCUCUU
rnacentral:piRNA from 1 species